UUUGAUAACUUUCUCAAAUUGGCACAUAAUAUUUAGAAAUGCAUAGGGUCAAGAAAUAUCAAUGAAAAACAUUAAGAUUUUUAUGUGAUGACGUCACAAUUACGUCAUAAUAUGGACUGUUUUCACAAAAAUGAUGAAAAAUACAGAAUUUAUGCAGUUUUCUAUCUUUAAUUCUGUUGUGGAAACAUCGUGUGCAGCCAAGAAACAACAAAAUAUUUUAACAGAAUUAUAACUAUUAACAAAAUCUCACUAAAUAUAUAGUUGUUUCUUGGGUGCGCACAUACUUUUUCAA
rnacentral:lncRNA from 1 species